rnacentral:rRNA from 1 species
UACGGAGGGGGCAAGCGUUAUUCGGAAUUAUUGGGCGUAAAGAGCUUGUAGGCGGUUUGUCGCGUCUGCUGUGAAAUUUCGGGGCUCAACCCCGAACUUGCAGUGGGUACGGGCAGACUAGAGUGUGGUAGGGGAGACUGGAAUUCCUGGUGUAGCGGUGAAAUGCGCAGAUAUCAGGAGGAACACCGAUGGCGAAGGCAGGUCUCUGGGCCAUAACUGACGCUGAGAAGCGAAAGCAUGGGGAGCGAACAGG